rnacentral:rRNA from 1 species
UACUCGAGUGGCGAACGGGUGAGUAACACGUGGGUGAUCUGCCCUGCACUUCGGGAUAAGCUUGGGAAACUGGGUCUAAUACCGGAUAGGAGCCAUCUUUAGUGUGGUGGUUGGAAAGUUUUUUCGGUGUAGGAUGAGCUCGCGGCCUAUCAGCUUGUUGGUGGGGUAAUGGCCUACAAAGGCGGCGACGGGUAGCCGGCCUGAGAGGGUGUACGGCCACAUUGGGACUGAGAUACGGCCCAG